GAUGAACGCUGGCGGCGUGCCUAAUACAUGCAAGUCGAGCGAACGGACGAGAAGCUUGCUUCUCUGAUGUUAGCGGCGGACGGGUGAGUAACACGUGGAUAACCUACCUAUAAGACUGGGAUAACUUCGGGAAACCGGAGCUAAUACCGGAUAAUAUUUUGAACCGCAUGGUUCAAAAGUGAAAGACGGUCUUGCUGUCACUUAUAGAUGGAUCCGCGCUGCAUUAGCUAGUUGGUAAGGUAACGGCUUACCAAGGCAACGAUGCAUAGCCGACCUGAGAGGGUGAUCGGCCACACUGGAACUGAGACACGGUCCAGACUCCUACGGGAGGCAGCAGUAGGGAAUCUUCCGNCAUGGGCGAAAGCCUGACGGAGCAACGCCGCGUGAGUGAUGAAGGUCUUCGGAUCGUAAAACUCUGUUAUUAGGGAAGAACAUAUGUGUAAGUAACUGUGCACAUCUUGACGGUACCUAAUCAGAAAGCCACGGCUAACUACGUGCCAGCAGCCGCGGUAAUACGUAGGUGGCAAGCGUUAUCCGGAACUAUUGGGCGUAAAGCGCGCGUAGGCGGUUUUUUAAGUCUGAUGUGAAAGCCCACGGCUCAACCGUGGAGGGUCAUUGGAAACUGGAAAACUUGAGUGCAGAAGAGGAAAGUGGAAUUCCAUGUGUAGCGGUGAAAUGCGCAGAGAUAUGGAGGAACACCAGUGGCGAAGGCGACUUUCUGGUCUGUAACUGACGCUGAUGUGCGAAAGCGUGGGGAUCAAACAGGAUUAGAUACCCUGGUAGUCCACGCCGUAAACGAUGAGUGCUAAGUGUUAGGGGGUUUCCGCCCCUUAGUGCUGCAGCUAACGCAUUAAGCACUCCGCCUGGGGAGUACGACCGCAAGGUUGAAACUCAAAGGAAUUGACGGGGACCCGCACAAGCGGUGGAGCAUGUGGUUUAAUUCGAAGCAACGCGAAGAACCUUACCAAAUCUUGACAUCCUUUGACAACUCUAGAGAUAGAGCUUUCCCCUUCGGGGGACAAAGUGACAGGUGGUGCAUGGUUGUCGUCAGCUCGUGUCGUGAGAUGUUGGGUUAAGUCCCGCAACGAGCGCAACCCUUAAGCUUAGUUGCCAUCAUUAAGUUGGGCACUCUAAGUUGACUGCCGGUGACAAACCGGAGGAAGGUGGGGAUGACGUCAAAUCAUCAUGCCCCUUAUGAUUUGGGCUACACACGUGCUACAAUGGACAAUACAAAGGGCAGCGAAACCGUGCGGUCAAGCAAAUCCCAUAAAGUUGUUCUCAGUUCGGAUUGUAGUCUGCAACUCGACUACAUGAAGCUGGAAUCGCUAGUAAUCGUAGAUCAGCAUGCUACGGUGAAUACGUUCCCGGGUCU
rnacentral:rRNA from 1 species